rnacentral:rRNA from 1 species
GACGAACGCUGGCGGCGUGCUUAACACAUGCAAGUCGAGCGGUAAGGCCCUUUCGGGGGUACACGAGCGGCGAACGGGUGAGUAACACGUGGGUGACCUGCCCUCAGCUCUGGGAUAAGCCUGGGGAAACUGGGGUACUAAUACCGGAUAUGACUCCAUGACGCAUGUUGUGGGGUGGAAAGCCUUGUGCGGCUGAGGAUGGGCCCGCGGCCUAUCAGCUUGUUGGUGGGGUGANGGCCUACCAAGGCGACGACGGGUAGCCGGCCUGAGA